GGCCUCCCCAACCAUGCAUCCUGCACAGCUUGUGGAACUAGACUCAACUGUGUGGGUUAAGACUUGGCCAUGGCACACCAAGGAUACCCCGUCUCUGCUCUGCAAUGUCUGAGGAUUCAGCUGGAAGACUUGAGAACUGGAGGAUGGGAUCAACUGAAGGCUCAUUAAUUCACUCAUCUAUCCUGGUUCCAGAAGCAGAUGGGCAGACAAGGAGACAAGCAGAGGAAUGUCAAAAUGCUGCGGCAGAAAGAGAGAAGAGGAGGAAUGUCUCAACACUAAGAGUUUAGCCCGGGGCGGUUCAGCUGCCGGAAGGCCAAACUCCAGGAGAAGCCCAUCUUCCUACUCCGUCCUCCCUUCAGGUUCUCCAUCCAUCCUGCUGAGAGCCACCUCCGCCAUUCAAGAGGAAACUGAGAGCCACAGAGAUUCAAGUGACUCAUCCAAGAUGACCCAAACCCUGGGGUUUGUUAUUGUUUUUCACACUAUGCAAAGCACUAAAAAACAUUCGUUUGAAACAGGUGAACAAAAGUCUAAUUUGUAGUGAGGUCUAGGGGAAUGACUGUCCAGUCAAUUCCUCAAUUCAUGAAGGAGCAUUUGGGACGCCACAGAGGAACAUACACAGGUAUCCCUCCUCCUACCCGACACCAUUCAGGAAGAGCGGUUACCCCUCCAAUGCACUGAAGCAGAUUCAUUUCCCUCAGGACUGUGGGAGGCGACUGAGGCUGAGUGAAUGAUACAGCCUUUUAAUUUGUUUUUAAUUGUCGUGUCCUGGUAACCCUUCCAAAGACCCUUCACGGAGAGUAGUUUUAUUUUUCCACUUAUUAACCGCAUUCACUAGACUGGAAAAAGAAUUCCCUAUCUCCCAAGAACUCUCCCUUUCAUUCUUGUAAUUCCUUUUUUUUUUUUUUUUUUUUUAGCACCAGGAAAGUAAUGUGUGUAAAACUAGAGCCAAGUAUAUUGUGGUUUCAAAUACAAGCCUGUUUGGAGCAGA
rnacentral:lncRNA from 1 species